GCCGGGUUAGCUCAGCUGGUAGAGCAACCGCCUUGAACAUAACGAGUGCCUCGGGAGAAAUCCCGGGAGUAGAAUCGCCCAAAUUCGGGGAAAGCUAAAGCCGUCGCCUGCCGAUGGCCAUGCCAAUCCCGAGCCAAGCCCCGCUCCGCGGGGAAGGUGUAGAGACUAGACGGGUGACGCCUAAGGCCAACGCAGAUGUAACGCUGCAGGCUAUGGCGAAGGGAUAGUCCAGCCCACGAACGCACACGGCGGCGAAAGCCGAAGUGGGACGGUAAGCGGUAGGUCGUUGGUUCGAUUCCGACACUCGGCACCA
rnacentral:tRNA from 1 species